UGGGGAAUCUUCCACAAUGGGGGAAACCCUGAUGCAGCGACGCCGCGUGAGUUAGAAGGCCUUCGGGUUGUAAAAACCUUGUCUAUGGGAUGAAAAUGACAGUACUAUAAGAAUAAGGUCCGGCUACAUACGCGCCAGCAGAAGCGGUAAUACGUAUGGACCGAGCGUUGUCCGGAAUCAUUGGGCGUAAAGGGUACGUAGGCGGCCCAGUAAGUUAGAAGUGAAAUAAUAGAGCUCAACGAUAUAAAGCUUUUAAAACUGCUAGGCUUGAGAGAUGGAAGGGAAAGUGGAAUUCCUAGUGUAGCGGUGAAAUGCGCAGAUAUUAGGAAGAAUACCGGUGGCGAAGGCGACUUUCUGGUCAUCAUCUGACGCUGAGGUACGAAAGCGUGGGUAGCAAACAGG
rnacentral:rRNA from 1 species